UUUGGCACUUUUGUUUAGCAUUCCUGCCAUAUGUACUAUGUAUGGUCUAACAAAGUACAUAAUACAUAACAGGCAUUUGGGUACUUUUAUUUUUAUUUAUUUUUUAGAGACAGGGUCUUGCUCUGUUGCCUAGGCUGGAGUGCAGUGGCGAGAUCACAGCUCACUGCAGCCUUGACCUCUCUAGCUCAAGUGAUCCUCCCACCUCAGCCUCCCAAGUUGCUGGGACCACAGAUGCACACCACUAUGCCUAACUAAUUUAAAUAAUUUUUUUUGGUAGAAGCUGGGAUCUCACUAUGUUGCCCAGGCUGGUCUGAACUUCUAGGCUCAAGCAAUCCUCCCACCUCGGCCUCUAAAAGUGCUGGCAUUAUAGGUGUGAGCCACCACGACCGGCCCAUUUGGACACUUAAUACUGGUUCAGCAGAACUGAAUGAAUUUAAUUGGAGAGGAAGUUGGGGUGAAGUCUAGGCCUCUGACUAUAAUGAGAGGUUUGGCACUGAGGGGAGGCAACAGAACAGGGAGUACAAAUUAGGAUGAAUUAAUGACAUGCUGGCAGGAGCUUGAGUAAAGGAAGAAGAGCAGAGGGCCAGGGCCUGAAGUUUGGGUGUCUUACCACAGAGCUAAAGAAGAGUGGGCAAUGGUAGACUAAACUAGAGAAGAAGAGGAGAGAAAGGCACAGAGGAACUUCAGCAACGGAAUGCCAGGGAAGGCAAGGGAGCUGAGGGUUUGGGCAGUUGCAUCCAGUGUAGGGAAGAAGAUCAGGGAGAUAGACAGGCAAAAAGCCAUGGCAACAAGGAAGUAGUUAGGGACUUUCAGAGGAAGUAUGAGAAAAGGAGAGGAAGGUCAUAGGUCUGAAGUUUAGCAGUGCAGUAGGGGGCACUGGAAUACUAUCUUGGGGGUAUGAGUGAGUGCUUUUUCAGGGGUCCUACUUGGGAGAAACAUAGAUAGACAUUCAUUUAAUAUUCAUCCAUUUCUUUCCAGCAUAGUCAUCAUUCUGACAUCAUCUAAAAGAAAUUAGUAUCUGCAUUGCAUCCUUAAAGAAGAAGGGACAAAAGACAUGUCCAAACUGUCUGUCUGUUCUAGUGGAAUAAAACAUUAAUUUAAUAUGUAUUUUGGACAACCACCAACCUAGAGAUUGGAAACUUUUCUCAAGGAUAUAUCUCUCUGUAUGUGGGCUACUGGCUUUGUGGCUUUUCUGUAGGAAAAUUAAAAUUCUAGUUUUGUUCUCCCUUAUCACCCAGUGUCUGUGUGGCUUAACUGGCUGAUUAGCGCGUGCUUGGAAUGUGUAAAUUCAUUUUAACAUUGGCCUAGGGGCCUGUGUGGUAGCUCACCCCUGUCAUCCCAGCACUUUGGGAGGCCAAGGC
rnacentral:lncRNA from 1 species